CCUACGGGAGGCAGCAGUGAGGAAUAUUGGACAAUGGGCGCAAGCCUGAUCCAGCCAUGCCGCGUGCAGGAUGACGGUCCUAUGGAUUGUAAACUGCUUUUAUACGGGAAGAAACCCCGGCUCGUGAGCCAGAUUGACGGUACCGUAAGAAUAAGGAUCGGCUAACUCCGUGCCAGCAGCCGCGGUAAUACGGAGGAUCCAAGCGUUAUCCGGAAUCAUUGGGUUUAAAGGGUCCGUAGGCGGUUUAAUAAGUCAGUGGUGAAAGCCCAUCGCUCAACGGUGGAACGGCCAUUGAUACUGUUAGACUUGAAUUAUUAGGAAGUAACUAGAAUAUGUAGUGUAGCGGUGAAAUGCUUAGAGAUUACAUGGAAUACCAAUUGCGAAGGCAGGUUACUACUAAUUGAUUGACGCUGAUGGACGAAAGCGUGGGUAGCGAACAGGAUUAGAUACCCUGGUAGUCCACGCCGUAAACGAUGGAUACUAGCUGUUGGGAGUAAUCUNAGUGCUAGAGAAGUAGAUAAGUAUACCACCGUACGGGUAGGUACGUUCGUCGAAGAAGUAGAAACGUACAAAUAGAAGUUAGUACGGCGUGAGACGUAGCCGACGGACGACGACGAGGGAGGAGGG
rnacentral:rRNA from 1 species